UACAUGGGGUGCAAACGUUGCUCGGAAUUAUUGGGCGUAAAGCGCGCGUAGGCGGUUACUUAAGUCGGAUGUGAAAGCCCUCGGCUUAACUGAGGAAGUGCACCCGAAACUGAGUAGCUAGAGUACGAAAGAGGGUCGCGGAAUUCCCGGUGUAGAGGUGAAAUUCGUAGAUAUCGGGAGGAACACCGGUGGCGAAGGCGGCGACCUGGGUCGAGACUGACGCUGAGGCGCGAAAAGCGUGGGGAGCAAACAGG
rnacentral:rRNA from 1 species